UACAGAAGGUGCGAGCGUUAUUCGUAAUUACUGGGCGUAAAGGGUAUGUAGGCGGGGCUAAGAAAAUUUUGCUAAAAAAACUGGAGUCGUAACUGCAGAAAUAAGCUUUUAGAUUACUGCCCUUGAGUUAAUAUCAGGUCGGAGGAACUUCCAGCGGAAAGGUAGAAUUUCGCGAUUCUGGAAGGAACACCAAAAGCAAAGGCAUCCCUCUAGAGUUAACUGACGCUGAGGUACGGAAGCAUAGGGAUCAAACAGG
rnacentral:rRNA from 1 species